AAGUAUAUGCAUAUUUUAUAUGUAGAAACUGCGAACGGCUCAUUAAAACAGUUAUAAUCUACUUGACAUUUUUCUAUAAGGAUAACUACGGAAAAGCUGUAGCUAAUACUUGCUUUUGGCGCUUUUCGAUUCUAUGAAUUAGAAGCGUUGUACUUGUUAAUCCUUUAAGAUAAAAUUCUAACAUAAGGAAUUAUAACAAAGAAGUUACACAUAAUAGGCAAAGCUUAUUUGUGUGUGUAUCAAUCGAGUUUCUGACCUAUCAGCUUUUGAUGUUAGGGUAUUGGCCUAACAUGGCGGUGACGGGUAACGGGGAAUUAGAGUUCGAUUCCGGAGAGGGAGCCUGAGAAACGGCUACCACAUCUAAGGAAGGCAGCAGGCGCGUAAAUUACCCAAUUCUAAAGAAGAGAGGUAGUGACAAGAAAUAAUGAAAUAAAGCCAUUUUUGGUUUUGUUAUUAGAAUGAUAGGAAUUUAAAUACUUCCUAAAAUUCAAUUGGAGGGCAAGUCUGGUGCCAGCAGCCGCGGUAAUUCCAGCUCCAAUAGCGUAUAUUAAAAUUGUUGCAGUUAAAACGCUCGUAGUUGAAUUUCAAAGAAUAUAGGUUGUUGAAAAGAUUUUAUAACCUAUACAGGUUUUUCGUUGAGACCUUGUGUCAUAUACGAUAACCAAAGUAAGGUUUUGAAUUACUUUUCUUCAAUAAAAUUUAUUCUUUUUUAAAAUCUUGCGUUGUUUCGACAAUUCGAGAUUUUGUUACUUUGAGUAAAUUAGAGUGUUCAAAGCAAACAUUUAAAGCAUUAUAUAUGUGUUUGAAUACUAUAGCAUGGAAUAACAUUAUUGAAUAUGUCAAAUUUCUUCAAUUUUUUCUAUUUUGGCUUAGUUACGAUUAAAAGGAGUAGUUUGGGGGCAUUUGUAUUCAGAUGUCAGAGGUGAAAUUCUUAGAUUUUCUGGAGACAAACAACUGCGAAAGCAUUUGCCUAAAAUACUUCCAUUAAUCAAGAACGAAAGUUAAGGGAGUGAAGACGAUCAGAUACCGUCGUAAUCUUAACCAUAAACUAUGCCGACUAGGUUUUGGAUGAAAGAUCAUAAAUUUAGAUAUGUAGCUUUAUCUUCUUCGGGGGGUGAGCUACUAUCUAAAAGUUGCUUCGUUCAGUACCUUAUGAGAAAUCAAAGUCUUUGGGUUCUGGGGCGAGUAUUCGCGCAAGCGAGAAAGUUAAAAGAAUUGACGGAAGGGCACCACCAGGCGUGGAGCUUGCGGCUUAAUUUGACUCAACACGGGAAAACUCACUAGUUUAAGACAAGAGUAGGAUUGACAGAUUAAUAGCUCUUUCUUGAUUUCUUGGAUGGUGAUGCAUGGCCGUUUUUAGUUCGUGAAUAUGAUUUGUCUGGUUAAUUCCGAUAACGAACGAGAUCUUAACCUGCUAAUUAGCGGUAAAUACACUGUAUUCGUGAGCAGGAUAGAAGUAUUGUUUUAGUUCGCUGUUUUAUACUUAGGUAUGAACCUUGAAUUAAACGAUUUUCUAUUAGGUUUACGAAUGUAUUUAUUUGAUUGUAAAGCUUCUUAGAGGAACGAUGUGUGUUUAACACAAG
rnacentral:rRNA from 1 species